UACGUAGGGUGCGAGCGUUGUCCGGAAUUAUUGGGCGUAAAGGGCGCGUAGGCGGUGCGGUAAGUCACCUGUGAAAACUCUGGGCUCAACUCAGAGCCUGCAGGCGAAACUGCCGUGCUGGAGUGUGGGAGAGGUGCGUGGAAUUCCCGGUGUAGCGGUGAAAUGCGCAGAUAUCAGGAGGAACACCGGUGGCGAAGGCGGUGGUCUGGGCCGGCACUGACGCUGAGGAGCGAAAGCGUGGGUAGCAAACAGG
rnacentral:rRNA from 1 species